GUGCCAGCAGCCGCGGUAAUACGUAGGGGGCGAGCGUUGUCCGGAUUUAUUGGGCGUAAAGAGCGCGUAGGCGGCUGUUCAAGUCGAUUGUGAAAACUCAGGGCUCAACCCUGAGACUGCGUUCGAUACUGGAUGGCUAGAGGCUGGUAGGGGGAUGUGGAAUUCCCGGUGUAGCGGUGGAAUGCGCAGAUAUCGGGAGGAACACCGGUGGCGAAGGCGGCAUCCUGGGCCAGUUCUGACGCUGAUGCGCGAAAGCGUGGGGAGCAAACAGGAUUAGAAACCCCAGUAGUCC
rnacentral:rRNA from 1 species